CCUACGUGCGGCAGCAGUGGGGAAUAUUGGACAAUGGGCGAAAGCCUGAUCCAGCCAUGCCGCGUGUGUGAAGAAGGCCUUCGGGUUGUAAAGCACUUUCAGUGGGGAAGAAAGCCUUGGGGCUAAUACCCUCGAGGAAGGACAUCACCCACAGAAGAAGCACCGGCUAACUCCGUGCCAGCAGCCGCGGUAAUACGGAGGGUGCGAGCGUUAAUCGGAAUUACUGGGCGUAAAGCGCGCGUAGGCGGUCUGAUAAGCCGGUUGUGAAAGCCCCGGGCUCAACCUGGGAACGGCAUCCGGAACUGUCAGGCUAGAGUGCAGGAGAGGAAGGUAGAAUUCCCGGUGUAGCGGUGAAAUGCGUAGAGCUCGGGAGGAAUACCAGUGGCGAAGGCGGCCUUCUGGACUGACACUGACGCUGAGGUGCGAAAGCGUGGGUAGCAAACAGGAUUAGAUACCCCGGUAGUC
rnacentral:rRNA from 1 species